AUUCAAGGCAGUCUCCAAAUUCUAAUGACAGAGGUCUGAGCCCGUACAGAUCCAGUCCCCUGAACUAGGCUUAGCCAUAUCACCAUGUUGCGGGAAGCCUGUCAAGAAAGCCCCUUGAAGAGAAUUUGGAACUCUGACUCUAGAACCCUAGGAAGAAUGCCAAUGGGACUGAGCAGUCCAUCCUGAUGUGUGGGAAGUUAAAUCUCCAAGAGAGACUACGCCAUUUAUAAAUGGUCUCGGAAAAGCACAAGAUGUUUGGUAUGAAAUAAUAAAUCAGUGGAAUUUCAGUGGAAAUCA
rnacentral:lncRNA from 1 species